rnacentral:ncRNA from 2 species
GCGAGCAGCGUCGAAACCGGUCCACGGGACCGGUGAAGAGGGAACCCGGUGGGAAUCCGGGACUGUCCCGCAGCGGUGAACAGGAACGACCGCCGUCAUGAGCACUGGAUUCUUCCGGGAAGCGACGGCCAGUAGGUGAAUCCGGGGCCAAUUCUCCGGACCGGUCCCCGACCGAUGCCUGUGAGUCCGAAGACCUGCCGGUUGCGCCGGAUACGC